AGUGAACGCUGGCGGUAGGCCUAACACAUGCAGGUCGAACGGCAGCACAGUAAGAGCUUGCUCUUACGGGUGGCGAGUGGCGGACGGGUGAGGAAUACAUCGGAAUCUACUUUUUCGUGGGGGAUAACGUAGGGAAACUUACGCUAAUACCGCAUACGACCUACGGGUGAAAGCAGGGGAUCUUCGGACCUUGCGCGAUUGAAUGAGCCGAUGUCGGAUUAGCUAGUUGGCGGGGUAAAGGCCCACCAAGGCGACGAUCCGUAGCUGGUCUGAGAGGAUGAUCAGCCACACUGGAACUGAGACACGGUCCAGACUCCUACGGGAGGCAGCAGCGGGGAAUAUUGGACAAUGGGCGCAAGCCUGAUCCAGCCAUACCGCGUGGGUGAAGAAGGCCUUCGGGUUGUAAAGCCCUUUUGUUGGGAAAGAAAAGCAGCAGGUUAAUACCCCGCUGUUCUGACGGUACCCAAAGAAUAAGCACCGGCUAACUUCGUG
rnacentral:rRNA from 1 species